rnacentral:rRNA from 1 species
UACGAAGGGGGCUAGCGUUGUUCGGAAUCACUGGGCGGAAAGCGCACGUAGGCGGAUUGUUAAGUCGGGGGUGAAAUCCUGAGGCUCAACCUCAGAACUGCCUCCGAUACUGGCAAUCUCGAGUUCGGAAGAGGUUGGUGGAACAGCUAGUGUAGAGGUGAAAUUCGUAGAUAUUAGCUAGAACACCAGUGGCGAAGGCGGCCAACUGGUCCGACACUGACGCUGAGGUGCGAAAGCGUGGGGAGCAAACAGG